GGGCAAUAGACACGAUCGCUCCGGAGCAUCCCCUCUCGAGUAACCGAACUAAACCAGCUCCUUGGUUUACUGAGGAGCUGGCAGCGAUGAAGCGAAAGAAGAGGGAACUAGAGUGCGUGUGGCGAUCAGAGUAUAACGAGUCAGACCGAACACGGCUAGGCUCCUAUCUUAGGGCAUAUGCCGCAGCAAUCAAAGUCGCAAGGAGAGUCCACCUUGCGGCCAAUAUUGCGUCCGCACAGAACCGUCCGGCGGCGCUGUUCUGUGUCAUCAGAGGGUUGUUAACUCCCACCAAUCAAGGUGAGAGCCCUGAUAACUCGACAGCCCGCUGUGAAGCAUUUGCUCGGUUCUUUGCAGACAAAGUCGCUCUGAUCCGUUCCGACUUUGACACCAUGUUAACGGCAGUCUCUGAGGAUGUAUCGAGCGCAUCUGCUUGUCCAGUUUUGUUGGAUUCAUUUCAAUUAGUUGAGCUCGAGGAUGUGGACAAGAUCCUUGGAGAGGCGAGACUGACCACAUGUAUCCUGGACCCCUGCCCAUCCUGGCUGGUGAGAGAAGCCAGAGGGGGAUUGGCCGAGUGGGUGAAGGUGGUGGUGAAUGCCUCCCUUCAGGAGGGCAAGUUUCCAGCGAGCCUAAAAAUGGCUGUGAUCAAGCCGCUGUUGAAAAAGCCAUCACUGGAUCCCACUCAAUUUGGAAACUUUAGGCCUAUCUCCAAUCUCCCCUAUUUGGGCAAGGUCCUGGAACAUGUGGUUGCCUCACAGCUCCAGGGAUUCUGGGUUGAUUGAUUUUCUGGAUCUGGCACAGUCUGGCUUCAGGCCGGGGCAUGGUACCGAGACAGCCUUGGUCGCCUUAGUCGAUGAUCUUCGCCGGGAACUAGACAGAGGGAGUGUGUCCCUGCUGGUUCUGCUGGAUCUCUCAGCGGCCUUCGAUACCGUCGAUCACGGUAUCAUUCUGGGAUGCCUCGCGGGAAUGGGACUUGGAGGUACUGUUCUGCAGUGGCUCCACUCAUUCCUGGAGUGUCGGUCCCAGAUGGCA
rnacentral:lncRNA from 1 species